rnacentral:rRNA from 1 species
CCUACGGGUGGCAGCAGUCGAGAAUUUUUCUCAAUGGGGGAAACCCUGAAGGAGCGACGCCGCGUGGGGGAUGAAUGGCUUCGGCCCGUAAACCCCUGUCAUUUGCGAUCAAACCUUACGAUCUAAUAAGUCGUGAGCUGAUAGUAGCGAAAGAGGAAGGGACGGCUAACUCUGUGCCAGCAGCCGCGGUAAUACAGAGGUCCCAAGCGUUGUUCGGAUUCACUGGGCGUAAAGGGUGCGUAGGCGGUCGGGUAAGUCUGACGUGAAAUCUUCAAGCUCAACUUGGAAACUGCGUCGGAUACUAUUCGGCUGGAGGAAUGGAGGGGAGACUGGAAUACUUGGUGUAGCAGUGAAAUGCGUAGAUAUCAAGUGGAACACCAGUGGCGAAGGCGAGUCUCUGGACAUUUCCUGACGCUGAGGCACGAAAGCCAGGGGAGCAAACGGGAUUAGAUACCCCGGUAGUCCUGGCCCUAAACGGUGCACGUUUGCUGUAAGAGGAAUCGACCCCUUUUGUGGCGAAGCUAACGSGUUAAACGUGCCGCCUGGGAAGUACGGCCGCAAGG